rnacentral:rRNA from 1 species
UGCCUAACACAAGCAAGUCGAGCGGUCAGAUGGGAGCUUGCUCCCUGAUGUUAGCGGCGGACGGGUGAGUAACACGUGGGUAACCUGCCUGUAAGACUGGGAUAACUCCGGGAAACCGGGGCUAAUACCGGAUGCUUGUUUGAACCGCAUGGUUCAAACAUAAAAGGUGGCUUCGGCUACCACUUACAGAUGGACCCGCGGCGCAUUAGCUAGUUGGUGAGGUAAUGGCUCACCAAGGCAACGAUGCGUAGCCGACCUGAGAGGGUGAUCGGCCACACUGGGACUGAGACACGGCCCAGACUCCUACGGGAGGCAGCAGUAGGGAAUCUUCCGCAAUGGACGUAAAGUCUGACGGAGCAACGCCGCGUGAGUGAUGAAGGUUUUCGGAUCGUAAAGCUCUGUUGUUAGGGAAGAACAAGUACCGUUCGAAUAGGGCGGUACCUUGACGGUACCUAACCAGAAAGCCACGGCUAACUACGUGCCAGCAGCCGCGGUAAUACGUAGGUGGCAAGCGUUGUCCGGAAUUAUUGGGCGUAAAGGGCUCGCAGGCGGUUCCUUAAGUCUGAUGUGAAAAGCCCCCGGCUCAACCGGGGAG